GCUGUGACUGAAGCAGUUCGGAAUGAAUAGCACUGAAGUCUGUGCAUCAGACGAUACUGAUGCUGAGAGACAGCAUACGACUAUUUACAGCACAAAAAAGGAACACGGAGUCUUCGGACAGACAGUAGCCUAUGUGAACGUGUUGUUGGAUCUCAGCGAAGAGGUUGAAGGUUGGGGGAGAUUUCAUCCUUUUGGUGCAUUUCUUCAAUCACCAAGAAAGCGGAAAAAAAUCAAGCAAGACACAAAGAUUCUCACUGUCUCCUCUGUGUGGACCUUAAUCUUUCUGAUUUGCCAAUCUAUUGCUCUGCUGGAAAUGUUCUGCAAACUUUCAGAAAGACUGUCCCAACACUUCUGGAACUUGCAGAGGAAACGGACAGUUCCUCUUCAGAUGAACUAUACUCUUUCAGCUUAUCUCUGCAAAAUAUGUCAGAGCCAUUAAUCAACAAAUUGCUGUCUGGAGAUGAACAGUGUAAACAAAACAAAUCACCAUCUGUCUGCCAUUACCAUAUAGAACCGUGUCAAAUUCAGAGAGAAAAUUGAGUUGCUCUUAGCAUCAGAAGCUUUAAUCUGUUGCCGCCUGUCAAAGAGUCCAGAAACCAGAGGAACUACAGUCUUUUUAAAAGGGUGGAGCCAACAGAUUGCCACCCAGCAGAAGUUGUCACUAAGGCCAUGAUGCCCGAUGCCACCGGUGUUAUCACUGAUGGUGAAAGACUGAGUGUCAGUGGUGACACAAGAAAUGUCUUCAAGGCCCACAUAGACUUUAUCCCAGAAGAGAAUGGAUACAGGUUAAAAGGACCUCCCAGCACAAAGCAUUGGCUGCCCCAGGUCAACAAUCACCUGCCAUCUAUUUUUAACAUAACUUUUCAAAAUAAGUAUGAUUUACCCUCCAGCACUGUGUCAAAUACAUUACCCCAGUCUUCCUUCCCCCUGGAAAGAAACCUCAGGCAGGAAGAAUUGACAAGGCCUUCCACCAGGAACAACACCAGUUAUAGAUUCUUUUCUGACUUGAAGCAAAAAUCUGAAAGACCUGAAGCUCAUCGACUAAUGCUGAUUGGAACGGGAGUUCACAUGCCUAUGUGAAUAUUAUUGAUCUUUGAACUCUCUGUACAUUGUAGCACCAUACUGUUUGGAGUUAAAUAAGUGUUGUGAUUCUGUUUGAGACUCGCACUCCGGUGUACUUGAAAAUGUGUGCUACGUGAAAAUGACUAUGCAGCAUAAAGGGAUAAAGAGAAAUCUAUGCUUUUUUUUGAAACUGUAGGAUUCAAUUACUCAGAACCAUGCUAUAUUACUAUGCAUGUUCAGCGUUUAAACUAGCUAAACAAUCACUGUCCAGCAGUCACUGAAAAAUCAACCUGAUUAGCUGAAUUCAGGUGUAGUUGAUCCUUUACAAAUAUACAACUGAACAGUACUUUAUAUCAUGUGCCAUUCGUAUGUAUAUGGCUUUAAAUUAUACCAGAGACAAAAAUGCAACCUGCCGUGGUUGUUGAUUUUUUUUUUUCAGACUCAGAACAGUACUAUUUUGAUUCCAUCAAAUGUAUUACAGCUAGGGAAUGUUCUACAAAGCUUUGUCCAGCUGAAUAUGCCAAAAAUAACCCCAUUUAGAACACAGUCAUUUGCAGACACUAAUAUUUGCUCAGUACAAUAACAGAGAAUAGAAGAAAAUAAAACCCAUUAAUGUAUUAGCGUAAUAUAAAUA
ensembl:lncRNA